GACGUAGGGGGCCAGCGUUGUUCGGAAUUACUGGGUGUAAGGGGUUCGUAGGCGGUGUAGCAAGUCGGGUGUGAAAUCUCUGGGCUUAACCCAGAGGCUGCUUCCGAAACUGCUGUGCUUGAGUGUGGGAGAGGCGCGUGGAAUUGCAGGUGUAGCGGUGAAAUGCGUAGAUAUCUGCAGGAACACCCGUGGCGAAAGCGGCGCGCUGGACCACUACUGACGCUGAGGAACGAAAGCUAGGGGAGCAAACAGG
rnacentral:rRNA from 1 species